rnacentral:rRNA from 1 species
CCUACGGGAGGCAGCAGUGAGGAAUAUUGGACAAUGGGCGGGGGCCUGAUCCAGCCAUGCCGCGUGCAGGAAGACUGCCCUAUGGGUUGUAAACUGCUUUUAUACAGGAAGAAUAAGCCUUACGUGUAAGGUGAUGACGGUACUGUAAGAAUAAGGACCGGCUAACUCCGUGCCAGCAGCCGCGGUAAUACGGAGGGUCCGAGCGUUAUCCGGAAUUAUUGGGUUUAAAGGGUCCGUAGGCGGAUGAUUAAGUCAGGGGUGAAAGUUUGCAGCUCAACUGUAAAAUUGCCUUUGAUACUGGUUAUCUUGAGUUGUAUUGAAGUAGGCGGAAUAUGUAGUGUAGCGGUGAAAUGUAUAGAUAUUACAUAGAACACCAAUUGCGAAGGCAGCUUACUAAGUACUAACUGACGCUGAUGGACGAAAGCGUGGGUAGCGAACAGGAUUAGAUACCCUGGUAGUCCACGCCGUAAACGAUGGAUACUAGCUGUUCGGGACCUUGAGUUCUGAGCGGCUAAGCGAAAGUGAUAAGUAUCCCACCUGGGGAGUACGUUCGCAAGAAUGAAACUCAAAGGAAUUGACGGA